rnacentral:rRNA from 1 species
GACGAACGCUGGCGGCGUGCUUAACACAUGCAAGUCGAACGGUAGCACAGAGAGCUUGCUCUCGGGUGACGAGUGGCGGACGGGUGAGUAAUAUCUGGGAAACUGCCUGAUGGAGGGGGAUAACUACUGGAAACGGUAGCUAAUACCGCAUAACGUCGCAAGACCAAAGAGGGGGACCUUCGGGCCUCUUGCCCUCAGAUGUGCCCAGAUGGGAUUAGCUAGUAGGUGGGGUAACGGCUCACCUAGGCGACGGUCCCUAGCUGGUCUGAGAGGAUGACCAGCCACACUGGAACUGAGACACGGUCCAGACUCCUACGGGAGGCAGCAGUGGGGAAUAUUGCACAAUGGGCGCAAGCCUGAUGCAGCCAUGCCGCGUGUAUGAAGAAGGCCUUCGGGUUGUAAAGUACUUUCAGCGGGGAGGAAGGGAGUGAGGUUAAUAACCUUAUUCAUUGACGUUACCCGCAGAAGAAGCACCGGCUAACUCCGUGCCAGCCGCCGCAGUAA